rnacentral:rRNA from 1 species
AGUUUGAUCCUGGCUCAGAGCGAACGCUGGCGGAGGCUUAACACAUGCAAGUCGAGCGGGCGUAGCAAUACGUCAGCGGCAGACGGGUGAGUAACGCGUGGGAACGUUCUUUUAAAAAUCGGAACAACACAGGGAAACUUGUGCUAAUACCGAAUAAGCCCUUACGGGGAAAGAUUUAUCGCCGAAAGAUCGGCCCGCGUCUGAUUAGCUUGUUGGUGAGGUAACGGCUCACCAAGGCGACGAUCAGUAGCUGGUCUGAGAGGAUGAUCUUCCACAUUGGGACUGAGACACGGCCCAAACUCCUACGGGAGGCAGCAGUGGGGAAUAUUGGACAAUGGGCGCAAGCCUUUUUCCUUUUCAUGCCGCGUGAGUGAUGAAGGCCCUAUUUUUUGUAAAGCUCUUUUGCCCCCCCAAGAUAAUGACGGUACCGCAAGAAUAAGCCCCGGCUAACUUCGUGCCAGCAGCCGCGGUAAUACGAAGGGGGCUAGCGUUGCUCGGAAUCACUGGGCGUAAAGGGUGCGUAGGCGGGUCUUUAAGUCAUAGGUGAAAAGCCUGGAGCUCAACUCCAGAACUGCCUUUGAUACUGAGGAUCUUCGAGUUCGGGAGAGGUGAGUGUAACCGCUUCGUGC